UCAAUCCUUGCCCUCGCUCAGUGCGUUAAGGAUUCAGCAUUGCCACAAGCUGCGGUAUAGGUCACAGAUACAGCUCAGAUCCAGUGUGGCUGUGGCUGUGGCUGUGGUGAAAUAUGUUAAUAUUAACCCAGUAAAGGAAUCUCUGAGUUAAUAUCUAGGGAGCAAAAUAGUCGAUUUGCAAUGAAAGCUAGAAAACCACAGUUUUAAAAGGCAGUUACUUGAAGCAGAAAAAGGCCAAUAAUCUCUGUGUGUUAAAAUUUAGGAGAGAUAUCAUUGGGAACAAAGAUUCUGCUCUAGAAAUGCCAGGCAAGGAGAAAGGAGCUGAGACCAGGCAUGCCAGCUCAUUAUAAAGGAAACUAGUGGUGGGGUGGUCCAGGGACCCAAAGCUAAAUGAAUUCAUGUCCUUUCCAACCCAGCAAAAGCAAGCACCAGCCUUUCCCAGGCAAAUUGAGGGCAUAACCUCAAGAAUUCCAGGGCAGAUGUGCUGAGGGGUCAGACAGGUGGUCAUCCUCAAGAAGCUUCCCUAUACAGCAUCAGAGACCCUACACUGAGUCUAGGGCAGGUUAGGAAUGAAGUGUCCAGAGAAGCAGAAUCAAGAUACUAGAUCAAGAAAUCCAGUCCUGGGAACCAGCGUAUAGGAAAUUUAAGAGAAAACUACAGGUUGAGAAGGAAAUUUCCAUUGGAAAUAGGCCUGGAGAGUUUUUUUCCUUGGCAUACCAUGUCCUUGCCAAAGAUGGGAGCCAAGAAUACUUGGAUAGCAAGUGAAGGAACCAGGUGUAGGUAACUAGGAGUGUAACCAUCAGGAAGCUGCAAUAAAUGGAGGAUCAGCACAGCUUGAGCUCUCAUCUGGGAUACUUUAGGAACUAGAAAAGGCAGCUGGCCAGCUGAGGACCGCACUCUCGGAUUUUAAAGGACAGGCAUAGACAAUGAGGUGUGGACUGAUAUUCCUUCCUUCCUUCCACCUUUUUAUUUUUACUUUAUUUCUUUAAUAUUUAUUGAUUUACAAUGUUCUGUCAAUUUCUGCUGUACAGCAAAGUGACCCAGGUAUACAUAUAUAUAUAUAUAUACAUUCUUUUUCUUACCUUAUCCUCCAUCAUGUUCCUUCACGAGUGAUUAGACAUAGUUCCCUGUGCCACACAGAAGGAUCUCAUUGCUUACCCACUCCAAAUGCAAUGGUUUUCAUCUAUUAACCCGAAACUCCCAGUCUCUUUUAUUGGCUUAGGGGGUAAAUAGUUGAAAAGGGCCUUUCUGAAGGAAAAAAAUAAUAGAUUUUGUGGACUAACUUUAAUCAUGUAUCAUUGAAUUCAAGUUUCCAAAAUGUCAUUGUUGAUAAUGUCAGCUCUUCACAACUUUCUACUCUUUAAUCCUGCUGCAGUCUUACCACACCCAGUGAAAGCUUUCACAAUUUCACUUUCACAUAGAAUUCACCCUUAAAAUAUUUUUGCUGAAUAAGUCAGUUUUGAGAACUACUGUUUAUCAUUAGACAAAGCAGCGAUUCAUCAUUUUAACCCGUUUUUUUAGCCAUCUUUACACGUUUUUAAUUCUCCAUUUUAAAAAAGAGUAGCUUGGGAGUUCCUUUUGUGGCUCAGUGGUUAACGAACCUGAUUAGGAUCCAUGAUGCAGGUUGGAUCCCUGGCCUCGCUCAGUGGGUAAAUGAUCCGGCUUUGCCAUGAGCUGUGGUGUAGGUUGCAGACACGGCUUGGAUCCUGCAUUGCUAUGGGUAUGGUGUAGGCUGGCAGCUGUAGCUCCAAUUCAGCCUCUAGCCUGGGAACCUUCAUAUGCCACAAGUUCAGUCCUAAAAAGCAGAAAUAAAAAUAAAUAAAUAAUUUAAAAAGGUAGCUCUACUCAGUUGAAAAUCUGAUCAGCAUCUUUCUCUGCCUAAAUCAUCACUUAUAUACAGAUGUCAAAGGGCAAGUUUUCCAUUUCUUUACAAAUUUAUCUAAAAGAUAAGCAUAUAAAUAAUAUGAACUGCUGAUAUAAAUUUUUUAAAGUAUCUUUUAGUUGAAAAGUCAAGUGACGGGUUAAUUUUCAACAAAAUCCAGCAUUUCUUUCCAGGCAAUUAAUAUACAGAGAAAAUCAAAAGUCAUACUCUUUAAUAGGAGGUGGUGUUGAUGCAGUGCUCCAGGGCUGCUGAUACAUGCAGGAUGUAAAAGGGUGACCUUCCCCGUCAAUGUCAGCAUCAUAGAUUUGUUUCUUUGCAUGUACUUAACAGUAUGUAUUUUCAUUCAUUAAAAAUAAAUCUCAGAGUUAUCUUUGUGGCUCAGUGGUAACAAAUCUGACUAGUAUUCAUGAGAAUGCGGGUUCCAUCCCUGGCCUCCCUCACUGGGUUAAGGAUGUGGCGUUGCCAUGAGCUGUGGUGUAGGUGGCAGAUGGGCAGCUCGGAUCUAGCAUUGCCGUGGCUGAGGUGUAGGCCCACAGCUAUAGCUCCAAUUGGACCCCCAGCCUGGGAACCUCCGUAUGCUUCGGGUGUGGCCCUAAAAAACAAAAUAAAUUAAUUAAUAAAUAUAAAUAAAUCUCAUGUAGAGUUCAAAAAUUUUUUAUUUUUACCGGUUAUUUUACUCUAAAUUGUCUGUAUAAAAUUAAGGAGAAAAGACUAAUUAAAUUGCUGAAUUAUCAAUGUCCAUGCUUUCCAAUUUAAAAUAAAGAGCCAGGGUAGCCUUCAUCUCUCCAUCAGUCAUUCCAGGAUAUAUGUCUGGUGUGUUCCAGCUAGUGAACAUCAUGAAAUCAGUGUGUCUUUUUUGCCUUGUCAGUUUCUUUUUAAGCCCCAAACAAACAGUAUAAUCAUAAUUCUAGCAUGAAGGUGUCACCAAGUUUGAGGUUUUUUUUCUUUAAACAGAUUUUAAAUUAAUCAUCAAGCAAUUGUGUCUUUCAAUUGUGCUUUUCAUUCCUAGCUAGCACUUUUUCCCCCUCUAUUGAUGCACCAUUUUCUGGUUGUUUGAACAGUUCAUUUUCAUGUUAACCACAAGAACAGUGAUAGUUUAUACAGUCACUCUCAGGAGGUUAUUCCCUGAAUGAUAUAAAAGACUAGACCUUUGGCUGUUCCACGGUAUUAAAGCUCAUAUUUCGAAUAUGCCUCUAAGUACAUCCUACUAUUUUUAGAUGACAGCUCCCUAGUACUAGUUCAGUAGUAAAGAGAAUGUUCUAUGACCUUUUUACCAUAAUUUUCACUGGCAAAUCUCACCUCUCUGAACAUUACUGAUUUCUGGAUGUACUAAAAUUUUUAAAUCAUCUGUUUUAUUUUACUUAAUAUUCAGCUUGUGAUCCAAACUCCCUGUAUUAAAUCACAUAAUGUAUUUCCUUUAGGAAAUAGAAUUUUAAAAUUAUUACACUGUAAAUGUAUAAACGGAAAAAAUAACAUUACACACACAGUACAGAUUCUUGGGGGGGGUGUACAUAUCUGAUAUUGGCAGGAAGUAGAACUAAAAGGAAUCAAGCACUUGUAAACAAAGUGUAUAAUGACAUAAUUGUUAGGAAUUCUUAAACUCCAUUCUGGAAUCAAUGACUUUUUGUGGCAUGUAAACUAAAGUUUGAAAACACUGAUUCUUGCCGAAAUGAAAUAACUUCUACGAAGACUGGCUGUACAGGUCUCUGAGAUCACAUGAUAAAAUCCCAUUUUUCAGCUUUUCCACUCUGGCAAGCAGUGCCAUGAGCAACUUUAGCACACUCUGUUCUUCUCGUAGCAUGACCAGAUCGAAUUCUUGGGACUAUGAUGUUGACAGCACUUUAUUCCCCAAGCACAGGAGUACCAAAUUUUCCAAUCAACAGUCAUGCAUUAAAAGGUUAUGUUCUCUGGGCUUACAUAAAAGCAACAAAAUACUCAUAAAAAAAUCAGAUUAUCUAAUUUUCAUUGAGUUGGCAUGUACCAAACAUAGUUUUUUACAUUGUUUAUUUUGAAGUAAUAACAGAUUCAUAGGAAGGUGAGAAAAUAGAACAAAGAAUCCCAUGCAUCCCUUUUUACUCAGCUUCCCCCAUGAUGACAUAAAGUUCUAGAGCAAAACAAGGAAAUUAGCACAUUAGUACAUUACUGUUAGUACAUUAGCACAUGACUUUUUAAAACCUACAUUCAUUUGUUUAUGUGUGUGUAGUUUUAUGAACUUUUUAUGUACAAAUCUGUGUAAUCACCACCGCAACCAAAAUGUGUAUUUGUUCUGUCAUCACAAAAGAACUCCUUUGUGCUACCUCUUUGUAUUUGUGUCUCCCUACUCCUCUACACCUGGCAGCCACUAAUCUGCUCUCCAUCUCUCUAGGUUUAUCAUUUUGAGCAUGUUAUGUGAAUGGCACCAUACACUGUGUAAUAUUGUAAAAUAAACUUUUUUC
rnacentral:lncRNA from 1 species